rnacentral:lncRNA from 1 species
CGGAACCAGUUAGCUGGGCGGAGAAGAUGGUGAUUUCCACCACCAUCCCCACGUGGGAGCUUCCAGGUCAUUGGAUGAUGGUAAAACAUUUUAAUCGUGUCCCUUCAUUUGGUUGACUUAUUUUAAUUCCAUUUGUGGCGCAUUUGACUAAGAAUCAUGGUGCAUCAAUGCCUCUGAAUCACAUGAUGUGUGCCACGUCAUUUAAUGAAUGAUCCAAGGGCGCUGGACUUUUGCUUUUUCU